rnacentral:rRNA from 1 species
UGGGGAAUUUUGGACAAUGGGGGAAACCCUGAUCCAGCCAUCCCGCGUGUGCGAUGAAGGCCUUCGGGUUGCAAAGCACUUUUGGCAGGAAAGAAACGUCAUGGGUUAAUACCCCGUGAAACUGACGGUACCUGCAGAAUAAGCACCGGCUAACUACGUGCCAGCAGCCGCGGUAAUACGUAGGGUGCAAGCGUUAAUCGGAAUUACUGGGCGUAAAGCGUGCGCAGGCGGUUCGGAAAGAAAGAUGUGAAAUCCCAGAGCUCAACUUUGGAACUGCAUUUUUAACUACCGGGCUAGAGUGUGUCAGAGGGAGGUGGAAUUCCGCGUGUAGCAGUGAAAUGCGUAGAUAUGCGGAGGAACACCGAUGGCGAAGGCAGCCUCCUGGGAUAACACUGACGCUCAUGCACGAAAGCGUGGGGAGCAAACAGG